rnacentral:lncRNA from 1 species
AAAACCGACGCGACCCGAGCUGGGCUGCGGAAAUGGCGCCCAUGUCCCGGCUCCGGCCAGGUCGUGAUCAGGAGACAGACUGAGGAGCCUCUCCCCACCGCAAUCCCUUUAUACUGGGUAGGGGUUCGAAGGCACAGGGACAGAGUAUACAGGACACUGCUUGAGGCAGCGCGUCCACCCACCAUCUGUGCGACCUCAUCAAGUCACCUCUCUGAGCCUCAGUUUCCCGGUAUAAUGGAAACGGCAAUUUUAAAUGACACAUAUGAGGCCUCACUCCAUCACCCAGGCUGGAUUGCAGAGACACGAUCAUAGCUCACUACAGCCUCUAACUCUUGGGUUCAAGCGAUCCUCUCACCUCAGCCUCCAUAGUUCUUAGCUGGGACUACAAGUGUGCAGCAUCACACCUGGCUAAUAAUUCCAUCCUUAACCCUCUGCGAGGGAUGCCAUUUGCCUUCUGAAUAAACCCAGACUCCUUCAGGAGGCUUACAAGGUCCUGGGCCACAUUUUUAGCCUUUCUUCCAUCCACUCCACCACAGACUUUAAGAUGCAGUAAAAAUGGUUCUCACUUCCUUGCCUUACCACAGCUGUGCCAUCCACCUGUCGUGCCCACUACCCAUCUGCCUCUUCAGGCAGGACUGUGUGGAUUGGAUGUUGCCAGAUCACAGUGGCCUGUUCACUCUCCUGGUUCCUCCUCAAGGACUGAGCACCUUAAUUGCAUGUCAGUCUUAUUGUACUUGGACUCCCUCAUGUCUACCGCGGCAUAUGUGGAGUGAGUGAGUGAGUGAAUGAAUGAAUGAAUGAAGGGGUUAAGAUUUGGACCAGCUUGUCCCUGAGGGGUCCAGUGAGUUUCGAAGAUGUACCUCAAGCAAAUAAUCAUAAUCAGGUUGCAUGCCCACCCAAUGCCAGCAGAGGAGACCAGAGACCAGCGGGCAGGUGGAAGCUGUGCCCCCAGGAGUCUAAGAAGUCUCUGGCCUGGCCAGAGGGUACUUCCAAAGCCUGUGUGAGAAGUUCCAUCUUCCCGUCCCUCAUCUCAGGCCAACUCU